UUGAAGGUUCAGACCUGAAAGUCAUUUAAGAAAUGAGCAUCCAUUUUGAUGGCUGCUAAUAGCGACAGUUAACCGUUUCCAUUCUACACAUAAACUGUGGGAGCUUUUCCAUCAGAGGCAUUGUUUUUCUCUGAAGGGGUGAAACGGUAAGGCUGCACACAGCCUAAUGCAGUGGUGUUCAACUUGAGCAUAUGUGGGAGUUACCUGGAGGCUUUGCUGAAACAUGGAUCUCUGGCCUGUGUUAACCCCGCAGUUUCCGAUGCUGUAGCUUUGGGGCGCGGCCCAGGCUGUGCAUUUCUAGUGAGUCUCCGCAUAAUGCCGAUGCUGCUGGCCGGGGGACCACCCUGUGAGGACCCUGCCCCAGGUGAGACUCACCUGGGGAGGAUUGAAAAAUUACCUGUUGGGCCUCACCCCAGACCCAUUGAAGUGAAACAUGAGAUGGCUAGGAGGCAGGGACGGACAUUUUUCAGAGUUGUCCAGGUGAUUUGAAUGUGCAGCCAGGAUUUACAAUCAGUGCUUUGGAGAAAACAAGGGAAAGACAACACAGGUCUUCUCAAGAACAAUUGGAUAGGAGAGUGCCUGGUAUUGUUCUUCCCGUUCUGAUCAAAUAUCCAUGAGGAGAGAGAGCUGAUGCAGAAUGCAGCCAGUGGUGCAUUCUGGCUGUCUAAACUUUGAAUGGUGUUUGGGGUCGGGGAGAUGAGAGGGAAAGGUGAAUGCUCAAUUCGGGAGACUUUAUUUAAUUUUGUAGUUGUUUUCUUUGUAGGGUUCCUAGCAGGAUAGAGGCUUUGUGGGAACAGUGAAACAUAUAGUAAAAUUUGGAUGCCGGAUUAGAUGUGAGCCUAAGGUGUAAACAGUCUUCAAGGGUCAUGAGAUGAGGAUCAAGGUGGGCUGGAGAUUCACAGCCUUUUGUUCUUAAAUAGACCAGUUUAGUGCUAUCUAAAUCCAGUAUCUGUUUUAUAGUAUACUUAGGACUGUCGGUCCAUAGGAUUUAAAAUUAUAGCUGUGGGGUGAACUCCCUGUUAUUCUAGUGUAAUAGAGAAAAGCUAUUUCCUUUAUUAAAACCGUAUGCUAGAAGAUGAAAAGAGUCACAGAGAAUUAUCAGGAGUGUGGUGCUUCAGCAUCCAAUUAAAUCAUUGGAAGUCGCCAGAAUGUAUCCUGUGAACAGUGAUUCUCAGCUGAAGGUCACUUUGGUUGGAGUUACUUAUACACUAUUGCUAGUGUGUCAGAAAGUUGAAGGAUUAGCUGCCUUAUAAGACACAGACCAUUAUAAACACAGCAGCAGCAGCAGCAGCAGCAGUAUAAUUGAGUGGGGAAAAACACACAUAUUUAUGGUCUGCACAAAUGGGUAUAUGCCAGAGUGAACAUGAAAGUAAAUUACAUCUUGCCCGAAUCUGAUUCUAAUCAGAAAACAGCCAAGAACAUAACACCUUUUCCUGCUUUCAGUGGAGCUGGUGGGACAAACCUGGACUGGGUGGAGCUGGGGCCCCAGCAGUGGUCUCUGCCAUAGCAGGCGCCAUAAGCUGGAAUUUGUGCCUCCAGGCCUGGAGGGACGCAAGGCGUUUCUGAUGAAGCCGAUACAUUCAGAAUUGGGGUCCAAAUAGGAAAUAAUGCCCUUUUCAGGCUAGUGAAAAUGUUGAACUCUAAGAGAUAAGUUUAUUUAGAGACUGGAUUGAGCUUUCGUUUAAGAUUUCCCACCUGCGUAAAAUUCCUUUCAGCCCAUAGGAUUCUUGAUUCUGAAGUCCAGACAGAAGCCUGUGUUCUGUAGCUGCUGAACAAAGAUGAGAGAUCAUUGGGGCUGCUGUUUGUCCGAAGUUUGUGUGGGUAUCAUGAUGAACCCUCUUCUAAGAAGUAAAAGGACUCUUAAAUCAAAAUAGACAACUGCAGUCAGUCCACCAUGCGCAACGACAUUUAAAAAAAAAGAGAUAUCUGCCCCAUUGGGUUUCUAGUAAAGUAAGUUGAACACAGAGAACAGCAGAAUAGGAAAGGCUAGUGUCACCUUGGUCUACAUAGCACCAAAGUUGUGGUCCGUUGAGACAGAAAGGAAGCAUUUAGGAACUUGGGAUAAAUAUCCACUUUUAUUUAACUCAUACAUGCACUAGAAAUUUGUUUGGGACGCUCAUAAAUACAGAGUUCACAGUAGAUCAGUGUCCUUUGAGGAAAUGAUUUGUAGAAGGCCGACUUGCAAAGCAUUUCUUUGAAGAUGAAAUAGAGAAAGCACUUCCUGGGCGGCCCCCUGCCCUGCCUGGCUCUUAGAAGUGGCCUGUGUUUCCACCCUGAGCUCUUCCUGUUCUGCAUGGGAAGACCUCGUUAGUGAUGCUGAUGCAGAAUAAUUUGGGGGUUAUGUGGGUAAUGUUUGGUAUUUGCAUAAGUGAUAGCAGAGAGGUAAGGUUCCAGCCAUGUCUGGCACUUGUUUACAAUAGAAUCAUGAAUGGGGGUGGGCUUUCAAUGCAAGAGCCAGUUAAAAAGUAUAUCUCAGGUACAUCUGUUUUUAUUAGUCCAGAGCAAACUCUAGAUUAUGCAUCUUAUUUGAGGGCAGGUUAAGGUUACUUAUCAUGUGUUUUUGGUGUGUGUGCAUGUGGAAAACUCUAACCAAUUUGUUAGGUUUCGUUGUUGUUUGGGAAUUGGAAAGACGCUACGAAUUUCCUGUGCUUUAAAACUGAUUUUUAAAAUUAACUUUAUAUGUUUUUGUGUUAGGAUGGUAGAUUGAUGAAUGCCAUAAAAUUUGCUGUUUUAGUAUUCCUUUUUAGUGAUUUUAGGGAUUUUAUUCUAAAAUUGGCAUAUAUAUAUGUAUGUAUGUAUAAGACAGAUUAGAUCAGAAUUACUACUGAAAGUAUCCAUAUUUAAAUUUUGUUGAAUAAAAGGAUUAUCAUUUCUUAAGGGGAAAGAAUGAUAAGAGAUAUGUUUCCAAAGGGACAAUAAAAUCACGAUUUAUGUUGAAAAGUUUUGCCUUUUGAAGUCGUAAAGCAGAGAAUUUUCCUAAAUUCAGAAAUCCAGUGAGGUGAUUGACAAACCACACAAGCUUUCUGUUUGCUGUGGCGGGUGCUAGUUUGCUUUAGUUGGCUGGCUCUGGCCAUAAUAAGACAAUAGCGUGCACUGCUGCUGCCCUAUUCGCAGGAGCAGACAACUAAGGUGCUAAUGAAAACACACACGGGCUUUCGUGAAUGAAAGUCACAUGACUUGUUCUGUUUCCUUUAUUGAAAGAGAAACCUUUACAAAAAUAGUACUUCAUAGAAGGAAGCAUAGUAUGUGGAACACUAAACCAGGAAUCAGGAAACCAGGUUUCUAGUUGCUGAUCUUAAUGAGUCAUUGUGUGUCUAUGGGAGAGCCACUUAAUCCUGCCUUCUCACUUUCCCUGUCUGUAAAAUGGGGGUAAUUAUAAUCCUCCCCUUUCUGUGUCACAAGGCCGCUGGAAGGUAAAUGAGGUCAUAAACAUCAAGAGUGUUUUAAGCUCUUCUAAAGGAAGAUGCUAAUAAAUCCAGUUGUUGAUACUUAUUGCUUUGAAACCAUGAAUGUAUACAGGAAAGACACUUUUGUAAAUGGGUACUCUUAAAUUGAAACAAACAGUAACAGCAUAGUCUGAAAAUGGAGCCAGCACCUUAAAAAUUGCUUACCUUUACUGCUUAUUGCUAGUUCCGCUCCAGGCUCCCAAGAGCCAUUGUUUUCCCCCUUUAUGUAACUUAAGAUCUGUUCAUAGAUAUUUAUGAACAGAUUGUAACAAAGUAGUGUUCUAAAUUACAUAGAAAAGUAACAAUUAGGGAAAACAGUAUGGUAAUCCUGAAACUAUGUUAAGACUGAACUUCUGAUUACCUUUUAUGACUUGUUUUUAUAUUAAGAGAUGUUGACAAGAUGAAAAUGUAUAAUUACAAUAUACAUUUUAAAAAUCGCCUCUUAAUGCCGAAUGCAUUGAAAGAAAAACAGAACCCUGAGGUUGUUUGACUACUCAUUGUUUAGUCUGGGGGUUCAUUCUUUGGGGUCGAUUUAAUGAGGGUGGUCAUUCCUGCAGUUUUGAUGGUAGCACUGUGCUUAUCAAACAUAGUAGGAAAAUGUGUGAUUGUUUUGUUUUUCUACCACCCAAAAAGGAAUCUUAGUAGAGAAUUGAUAUUUUAUUUUCUUUAGAAGUAUGAGUAUUUAAAAUGAGGCUCUUUUUUCUGAAGAGAAGAACUUGGAAAAGUUUUAGUAACAGCAUGAGUAUAAUGGGUUUUCUGUGAAAAUUCCCACUAAUGCAUUUUCUUUAGAAGCAUAGUUCUAAGAGCUAAUUUUGGUAUCAGAUUUGGCAAGUAGAAAGGGUUUUUGUUUGUUUGUUUUGGUUUUUUUCUAGGGGGAGUAGCACAGAAUCAAGUGUUCCCAUUUCACCUUAUAAACUUAAGGGAAAAUGUAACUUUAUUCUUUCAUCUGCAUUGCCAAGUAGAAUGAGGAAAACACUGGGUGAAGCAAAGUGCUGUGCCCCCCGCCCCCCAACCUGCAUUUGGACAGCUGUAAUGCAGGUGGAUUCUGUUUCAUUUCUCUAGUACGGAUGACAGCAGAAUGUAUAUUUCUAUACAAAAUGAACAAAACAUUUUAAUGUUGGCGUUUUAAUGAACAAAUGAAAACAAAAUUUUCUGAAUGUCCAAAAGUAUUGGUUAUAAACAUAUUAACUGUCAGAUCAUGAUUUUUGUGAAAAGAAUGCUGUCCAAGUUUAGAUAGGGACACUCUUUCUAUAUUUAGUUUGAGUGGGUUCUUCAAGAUUGCAGUGGUUAUUCUGACUCAUUUAAGGUAGAUUAUUAUACGCAGAGUUCAGUGCUAGACUUUUCUGAAGAAAACUAGUAAAGUCAUCAUUUGGCAUGGAGGAGAUGAUGGGGUUGAUGAUUGCUACUGAUUUCAAUUUCUUUCAAGAUAGCUACAGAGACUUACAUUAACUGGGUGCUAAAAUACAAUGCAUAGGUGAAGGUUAGUAUAGAAAGAGUUGGAGUAUAUGUUGUGUACCAACAUUUUGCUCUGUAGGUGCAAAUAAUGCAAGAUACUUCUGUGUGUUAUAGCUUUAUUACUUAAGUGAAUUCAUUACAUAAGAAUUCUGAAAUAGAUUGGAUUAAAACUUAUAGGUUACAUGUUUACAAAUGAUAAAAUAGUCAAUUUGGUGGUUCUGAUUAAUUUUCUAUUAGACUAGAAAAAUACUAAGUUUGUAUAGAGUCACUUUUAUGUGUCCAAAGACACUGUAAAACUUGAAUGGGUAAAGGCGAAGCCUUGGAAACUCUGUCCAGUUUUCUUAUGUCAUAUAUGAUAUCUAUAUACACAAAUAAGGUUUAUAAAAUAUUCCUUGCUUACUGUGUUUUUACUGAAAUUUGGAAUAUUCGAUCAAAUAUUUUGACCCACGAUAUAUUUUUUAAAAAUAAGUGAUCACAUGCAUUGCACCCUGUAAAUGCUGGGGGUUUUUUUUUUUGUUUUUGUUUUUGUUUUUUUUUUGAGACAGAGUCUCGCUCUAUCACUCAGUCUGGAGUGUAGUGGUGUGAUCUCGGCUCACUGCAACGUCCACCUCCCGGGUUCAAGCGAUUCUCCUGCCUCCGCCUCCUGAGUAGCUGGGACUAGAGGUGCAUGCCACCAUGCCCUGCUAAUUUUUUGUAUUUUUAGUAGAGAUGGGGUUUCACCAUGUUAGCCAGGCUGGUCUCGAUCUCCUGACCCCGUGAUCUUCCCGCCUCAGCCUCUCAAAGUGCUGGGAUUACAGGCAUAAGCCACUGCGCCCGGCCUAAUGCUGGAUCUUUUAAUAUUCAUUUUAAAGAGUAUCAGGUUUUCCAGCAACAUGUAUUUGGGGCUGGUGUGUGUGUGUGUGUGUGUGUGUGUGUGUGUGUGUGUGUGUUUCCAUAAUAUCUCAUCCAGUCAUGCUCCAGGAGGCUGGAUAUGAUAUUUUUCUCCAUAACUGAAAUUCAAGUAUUAAUGAUGUGUUCUUUGUUCAUGUUGAAACUUUAUAACUUAAGCAUAGUCUACUGCUGCUUUAUCCCUAUACAGUUAGUACAAAUACUUGAGUCAGUUAUUACGGUGUGGUAUGAAAUUUCAAUUGUUUUCAAUGCAUAAAAACAGAUAUUAUGAUAUAGUUCAUUAUACUAUGUGAUUUUGUUACUUUACAAUCCUAUUAUACUAUGUGAUUUUGUUACCUUAAAAUCCUUAUGUUUAUGUUAAGAAUGACUCAUUCUUCGAUGAGCAUGGUGGCUCAUGCCUGUAAUCCCAGCACUUUGGGAGGCUGAGGUGGGUGGAUCAUCUGAGGUCAGGAGUUCAAGACCAGCCUGGCCAACAUGGAGAAACCUCAUCUCUACUAAAAAUACAAAAAUUAGCCAGCCAUGGUAGCAUGCACCUGUAGUUCCAGCUACUCAGGAGGCUGAGACAGGAGAAUCACUUGAACCAAGGAGGCAGAGGUUGCAGUGAGCUGAGAUCGUGACACUGUACUCCAGCCUGAGCAGCAAAGAGUGAAAUUCAGUCUCAAAAAAAAGAAAGAAAGAAAGAAAGAUUUUGCAUAGUAUUAAUGCUUAAUCUUUAAUAUUUAAGAAUAUGAAAUAGUGCUUUCUCUAUGCAUUCUAUGGACUUAAAUAAGUCAAUCUUUGGCCUCCAAAGUAUAAGUGUAACAGAUAAUCCUGCAACUUGGUAGACAACUGGCAACUGAAGAUUUUGAAAGAAUCUUAUUGAAGUUGAAUGCAAUGACGAGGUACCAUUAUUCUGAUCAAUAUUGACGGAUAACUGCCUGCCACUCUUCUCUUGGGGUUAAAAGAGUUGUGUAAAAUUCAAAAGGUGUUUUUCUUCCCUUUAUAGUGGUAAGACAUUUUCCUAUAUACAAUAUUGUAUAAUAUUCCAAAAAAUCCUAUGGCAUAGGCAGAACCACCAUGAACCCCAUUCUUUGGAAUCAAGAACCUACAGUGUAGAGAGGCCAGAUGACUUGCUCCAGAUCUCUGAGCCAAAAGGAGAAGGAGUGUCGGGUUCAACCUCAUAAUAUCUUGGUAUCCCUAGCCCAGUUCUCUAAUGUCAUAUUGUCUGCUUGGGAAGCUCAUAUGCAAUAAUUACAUUAGGAUUUUAUUCUAGACCCUUGCCUCAAGCAACAUUUAAGUUAAUAUUUUGCUGGAGUGAUAGUUAAUCUCCCCCCCUUUUUCUUCCACUGGGUAUCAAUUCAAAGAAAAAUGGGGACCAUUGAGGAGGAAGACUGGUAGGAAAGCACUCUAUUUAUUGUAAUCAGUUUUUACAUCCACCGGUUUGGAGAGUUUAGUAUUUGAUACUAUUUUCAAGGCUGUGAUGUUACUAGUGAAUUUUAAAGUUGACAAUCAAGUUGGUGAUGGAUCUGUUCUGGGGACUCCAGUCAUGCUUCCUGGACCUCUAGAUGUGUCAACAAAGUGGAAAACUUAGAUUCCUCUGGCUGUCUUUCAUUACCUCUUGGUAAAGCAAACUGUAUAUGAUACUUGGUAAGAUACCUCCCCGCCACCGCCACCAUCAAAUACAUUAAAACUCUUGCAACUCAGGUGGUGACAAUACGAAAAAAAUAUACAAGGGUGUUCUGAGAAGGAAGAGUUGAGAACCGUUGAUAGAAUGUAACUUAGUUAUUUAAGGUUGUGAAAACAGAGGCUGUGUGAGGUCCGGAGUCUUAGUCAAGGUCACUGAUUCAAUUAGUGGUAGAGUUGUUUGUAGAUAUCAUCAAGAAAGAGUAGGAGAAUGUGAUACAAACAAUGACACAUCUCAGUUGGUUCUUUGUAUCUUGAUGAAUAACUUUCUCCCAGGAUACAGCCUAUGCUCUUUAGAACAACUUUGUAUUUGUAGAAAUGAUAUUAGUCUUUUUACUUUGGAAUAUUUUAGUAACUUUCUUCAUCCAUAGACUAAAAGAAACCCUGAAAGCCAGAAAUAGAGCAUGCAGAAUUCCUUAAUGAAGAAACGCGUUAUAAAUCAGAGAAAUAUGGCUGUUCAUGACUAUGUGGACGGUGUUUACUGAGUGGGGAGAAGAUUUGGCAAAUAUUUAGGGUCAUGUAUUUACUUUGUUAAAGAAAAGGAAACAAAGUUAUUGUUUCAUGAAGACCCCCAGUGAAAUCUAAAGGCCUAGAUUAUCUAGCAGAAUUGAAGGCGGCUUCUGUGUAACAGGUUCAGCCUGGGCGGUGACACAGUGAUGAGUCAGCGGGUGUGUUCGGUCACUGCUCUCUGUGUCUCUAAGACAGGUGCUUGUUCUAUAAGUGAAAUAUCAUAUAUUCCCCAUUAUGCAUAAGUCCAUUAACAUUUUUCUAAGAAAUGAGUCAUUAACCUAUUUAAUGAGUUUAUUUGAAAACUAAUCAAUUUAGAAUUUGCCUAAGGACCAAUAACUAACUAAUCAGUUGUUGCUAGGUGGUUAUCUUCUGGGGAAUUGAGUAUUUUGUCAGUGCCUUUUUAUUUUUAACAGCCCUUGUUUUUUUCCUUUUUUUUAAUUCUCAGGAAAAAAAUCAUUUAGCUGGAUUUUUAUAUGAAGAUAAAUAGUUUUCAUACAAAUUUAAUUUCACAGAAGCUGCCAUUAUUCUAAUGACGUGGGUAUAACCUCACUUUCAAAAGGAGAAAGAAACACUUUAGCAAACACAUAAAAAUUCUUAAGAUAUUCACACUUUAAAAAAUGUAAUAGGCAAAUCUGUGGCCUGGAACUCUUGUGGGCAGUGCAGUGUUUGCUUUGUGUGAGCUGUCAGGCCCCUCAGCAUCAAGAGACAGUACCUCCUUCCUGGCCAGCACCCCCAGCGGUGAGCCCCGUGACCCACCAAACAGCAGGUGAGAUUGGAGACCUGGCUGGAUGAGCAAAGCAGGAAAGCAGUUUUGCUACCCGGGCGAAUGGAGUUACGGACCUUCUUCCAGGUUAAGAAGAAAGCCAUGUUCGGAGUGCCCUGUGUUGCAGUGAUGGGUUUGUUGAGCACCCACCAAUUUAGUCAGGAAGACUGUUGCAGACGUGUGGUCUGGGGGUCUUCAUGAAUCGGCCAGAAGCCUUUUCCCCAGCAAGGUUUGGGUGCCUCUGGGAACUUUUGCCUUCUGCAGAGGACCUGGGAAGAGCGUGCACCUACCUGCACCGCUCCGUGCUAUGAACCACCGAAAAUAGGGACUGAAGUCAGGGACCAUCUGACCCCGUGAAUUCCUGGGUCUGCGGCAGAAGCCGCCCCCGAUCCCAUCAUCUCAGUGGCCACCCUCACCCAUGACUGCCCUGCGCUGCCUGGGCCCAGCGCAUGCUGGGUGAGCCUCCCUGCCCUCCUUUCUUUGUUUGGGACUUCCCAUACCCAGAUGGAUGGAUAAAUAAGGGGAAUUGUGAAGCAGGGAGAAAAGUUUUGGAAAUAGGCCAGAAUUUCUUUACUAAAUUUAAAAACCAUGCCCAUAAUCCUUUAGAAACUCCACGCAAUAAGCAGGAUUAAGCAAGUCGUGGAUUAGAGUGUAUUGAGCAGAGACUGUUUUUGUUUGAAGAGGUCAGAAAUGGAGGUACUGGGACCCUAGUAUACUGUGGACAUUGCAGGGCUUCUGAACUUCCCAGACAGCAGAAAUUCCUGGAAAAGAAGAGUCUUGUGGUCAGUUUCUUACCCCACACCUUUGGUGCAUUUAAAAAAAAUAAAUUACUAAAGUGCUUUGCUUCAGUUUUAUUCUGGUAUGAUAGUAGGUAUUCACUUUUUAUUGUCUUCCUGCAUAAAAGCAACCUAAAAUAACAUUUUACACACGCAAAUGAAACAGAAAACAAAUCCAUAAGCUACCCAUACCCUCUUCCAGUUCUAUAUAUCAGGUGAGUGUGCUGAGACUUGUACAAAUAACUUAUGUUGUCAAGUAGACAUCUACUAAAUGUAUAGUUCAACUGAAAGUAUAUUUGGGUAUGCUUUAGCAAAAUGUAUUAGUUGCGAAAGUACCAAAUCUCUUUUUCUCUUUUAAAGUAUUAUAAAUCCAGGAUUGUAAAUUUAUUUUAAUUGCAGUCAGUUUCAGAAAACUAACUUUAAUUUAGCUGGCUGAGAAAGCAAAAGAGAAAAAAUUAAAAUAUUAAUGUUGAACUGCAUGAAAAUACUAGAUACAAAGGCUACACAAAACCCUUUUAGAUAUAAACAUCCAUGAAUUUGCAUUCAUUGAUGCAAAGACAUUGUUGAGAUUAUUUGUUCUGACAAGUUUUUUAAAUGAGAAUUUUCUCCUAAAGGUUUUGUAGCUUCUACAUGUAAGGGCAUUUUGGUGUUUGGGGACAGAUGAAAGUUUCAGUGGUCCAGUAGAAAGGACACACCUUGGUUCAGUUUGCCGUCUUACUGUUAUUUGCAGCUUAGCUUAUCAGUGUUCCUAGUUCCAGAUGAAAUAAUCACUGCAAUGAAAUGUCCAAGUUUUCCCAGCAGGGAGCAUUUAAUGAAGUUCUUAGAACAAGUCUGGGUGAUACACAUUCAUCUGUGUGAGUCUUGAUCUGUCCAGGUUCGCUGGGCUGUUUAGAAUCACUGGGUCUUCAGCCAUUUCCAAAACGCAGAACACAGUUGAUAUUUUAAGCCAAUCAAUGUAUUGAGAGUUCAGCGUGUGUCAGCACAAGAGUAGAUGUCCUGGGAGAUGCAGAAGAAAUGUGAAGCCUGGCCUCUGUUCCCUAGGUGCCUUCAGAGUCAACUUGGCAGCAUCCCACCGUGCACCAUUUUCUGGGCAGCCCCUCUGAUCCUUUUCAUAAGUGUCCACCCCGCAGGCAAUCUUGGCUGAGCACAGAGAAUGGGAUGUUUCACGGGAUGUCUCUGCUGCGACAGUGGAUAUCCUUGCUGGAACAUUCACAGUACUGGUCCCAUUCACAGCUGGGACCACUCAGAUGUUUCACCCCGUCACCCCUGCGUGAACCUGGGGUGCAUCAGAUGAGGUAGUGUUUGUAAGUUUUCUUCUCUGAAAAAUAGUAGCUUUGAUUCUGCUGCUAUCCCAAUUCCUAGAUGUCAGCUUGCCCUGAGCUCUUGGUGGCCUUGCCUCCAAGCUCUCCUGGUAUUUCAUUCUGUGCUCAGUCUUUGUUGUAAAUGGUAGUAUUCCAGAAACUUCCCCAUUGUCAGGUUUCUUGGCUGCUUUUUGUAGGCAGCCCCAAAGGCUGCGUUAAGAGUAUUGAUCACAUUCUUUUAUAGGCAUCGCUAGCCUGUUCAGGAAAGCCCCCUCCUUUCCUGCCAACCACAGCCCCCACCGGUUCAAAGGGCUGCUUCCCGCUCUUGGCCUCCCUGCCCUCCAUGGUGGUGGCCAGUGUAGGCGAAAGAAGGACGUCCCAUUGGGUUGGGGAGCUCCAAGUCACCCACCCGUGAGGCUGAUGGGGGAGUUAGUCACAGAUGAGUCUCCUCCCAUUCUCACCUUUUGCCACCUUUUACAGUUUUCAGAAAAAAAGAAAAAUAGGAACUUUACUUAUGGGUUGCUUGAGAAAGGUAGAAAGUUGGGGGCAGAAAGGACGAUGGCAAAAAUGGUGAGAUCUCCCUUUGAUUUUUAAAUGUAUUCAAACUGUUAAAUUUCUGCAUGUUUUCAUUUCAAAGAUGACAAUUGUUGCAUAUAGACUAUCUCAAAAAUACUUCAUCCAUUUGAGCAAUAUGAAAGAAUAGGCUAGAGAGAAACAGAUUUGGUUUUUCAAGCUAAAAAGAAUAACAGAAAGUGGGCGAGUCUUCAGUGAGCUGUCUGCCUUUGAAACCUAGGAAGUAAACUUAAUUUGGAUGUGCAUUUAGGAGAUGAAGCACUAUAGGUGGUGAAAUGCUCUGGCAAUGAAGCAGGGAAGGGAGCGGGGGGAAAGGAAAUUUGAGCCAAGCAACCUGAAGGUCAGGGGAAGCCGGUCUUAUGGAUGUUAAGGGAGGAAUCCAAGUAGGCAAAGGGGAUGAACAGCAGUGCAAAGGCUCUGGGGCAGCAGGUUGCCCGGUAUGUUCCAGAACAAGAAGGAGGCCAGUGUGGCUGGCAUGGAGAGCUAAGGCUCAAAGGAGAAAGUGAAGAGAAAGAGGUGGUAAAGGAUCAGGAGGAAUUGAGCCCGGCCAGCCGUGCUACUGAUGUUAGCUCACAUGUCACAGUGUGUGAGGGAGAUAGAGCCCUUGGGAACAAUAAUAUGCAGAGCUUUUAAAAAUUUUCAUACUGUAGCCAUCAAUUCCAUCAUCAUGGUGGUGGUAUCCCUGGGUGGUGGUGGUGACUUGGUAGAGUAUACGUCAACUCGAAUUUCUUCCUCAAAAGUAUAUAAAAUUUGAAAAGACCUAGAAGUGAUCUAGUGGAAUGAAGACACUGAGAUACCAUUGAGGUUGGGGAAACUACUGGGACGUGCUUACAGGAUAAACUGCAGAACAAAAGCAGAAGUUUGUAAUCAUGGAAUGACAUGUCUUAUUCUGAAAACUUAACGUUUGUAGCGUACCUUAUAAUUCAUAAGACAUUUAAAAAUGGUAUUGAAUCCCGAUAACCUAUGCGUAGGGUUGGAUCUUGUUGCUAUCCCUGUUUUUUAAUGGAAAAUCUGAGGCCUGAAGAUGGUAGGCCAUGUAUAUGCCUGCCCCGCCAUUGAGCCUGGCUCCUGCUGUUGGAGAAACUUUCCCAGUCUGUAGAGAGAGGAUGUGGUCCUGGCAAGCCUGGCUCCUGCCUGAUUCUGUAUCUUCUGGUAACACACAGCCGUCAUUUAAAAAAAAAAAACACAAGGUCUUUCCCUCUGACAAACUAAAAGCUGAAUCCGCUUAUUUCGAACUCUGCCUUGAGGCAGGAUGCCCCGUGCAUUAUGGUUAACUGUAGGACCUGCUAACCAUCGGCUUAUCAAACAAAUCAAUUUCACUCUUCAGCUAAUUUGGAAAUGAAAAUUAUAGAAGUUAGAAAAAAUGUGCAGAAAAUGUAUUUUUCCAAUGUAUUCCAUUUGUUUCAUAGAGAUCCUGGCUUCACAGGAAAGAGCCAAGGGCAUGGGUUUUGCUGAGGGCAUAAGAGCUUGGGGAAGGUGAGGGCUAGGUGUGUACGGGUGCCCUGAUGUCCUCUUAGCCUGCUGGUGAGGAAAGUGCACGUUUAAUAAAUGGGCUCCAGCCAACUGUGUGCAGUUAUUUGUAGCCUGCAUAAUUUUAAAAAUGUGGUUGAGCAUUUAGGUCUAUCUUCAGAAUUUAGGCUCCAUUUGACUUAGUUUUCCUGAAAUAUGUAGAAAACUAAUGGUGAAAGAGGACCUAAUUCUUAAAUUAUCUGCUUGAACUGUGCUGCUAGUUAUUCCAAGUAGAAUUUGUAAAAUGGUCCAUCAUUCUCUAAGCAAAAUGAGGGAAAUAACAAUUAUUUUAUAGAAAUUUCAUAUGUAUUGAAUAUUACAAAAUCAUGUAACUGGAAAUGUUUAAAUGGUCACGCUGGGCCAGGCACGGUGGCUCACGCCUGUAAUCCCAGCACUUUGGGAGACCAAGGCUGGUGGAUCACAAGAUCAGGAGUUUGAGACCAUCCUGGCCAAUAUGAUGAAACCCUAUCUCUACUAAAAAUAGAAAAAUUAACUAGGUGUGGUGGCACAUGCCUGUAGUCCCAGCUGCUUAGGAGGCUGAGGCAGGAGAAUCGCUGGAACCCGGGAGGCGGAGGUUGCAGCGAGCCGAGAUUGCACCACUGCGCUCCAGCCUGGGCAACAGAGCGAGACUCCAUCUCAAAAAAAAAAAAAAAGGGAAAAUGGUCGAGCUGAUUUUCCAGAAUGGAAUAUCACUGCGUGAUGCUCUCUGGGAAGAGAAGGCAUUAAGUCUGUAACACACAGGACAGAACUAUUGUCUAGUCUGUAUGCAUCUGCUUGAUCCUGAGUUUUGUCACCUUGGUUACUAAGAAGAUGGUUAGAAAGUUACGUCUCUCUUGAAUCCAUUCUUAAAGGCCUUCGAGGACUCAGGCACAGCCUUGGGAAACCAGGAAAUGUGACUGUGUCAAUCAUCACACAGUCCAACUUCCUUUUCGUGUAGGAAAUGUUUUCUUUAUCAUUAAUUGAUCAGUUCUCCCCUUUCCAAACUUCUGGCAAUUUGGGAAAUGGAAUCUUUAUGUUGCUGGGUAUUUUCUUCUUCCACACCUCCUUCUCCUUGCUGGAAAGGAGGGGAGGGCAGAAGACAUGUUUGUGGCCACAUUCCCGGUGUGGCCCGCCUGGACAGGAGCCAGGGUGCACACUGACCUGCACAGCCUCUGGCCCCUGUCCCUGGGCCUGACAGGCAGGAGCAAGGGGCCUGUCCUCACUCUGAAUCCAACUGCUUCUGACUCUGGGCACCCUGCUGGACCCUCCAGGAGAAGUUGGGGCCCACGUUUCUAGGCUGCCCGCUCAUCCAAACCUCCCUCCAUGUCCCUGACCAAAGCAUUUCGCAGAUCUGGGUCCUCUGGUGUGUGAGGCUCCUCCCAGCCCAUGAGCAUUUGAAAAUGUCUACAAGAUCUUUGCCAUUUUAGGUUCUACCGAACCUAAAGAAUGUAUGUUUCCUCUGCUUAGACUUAAGUUUUUGAGUAACUUUAUAGACACUUUGGCAUUUUGGCUGAAAGGGCAUGUGCAGUAACUGAAUAUGACUUGUGCACUGUUUCAGUGCCAGUGGGUCACAUGCAGGGGAGUCGGAGCCAGGGUGGAUGAGGCUGGGAUAUCUACAUGCUUGGUGGGGAGUUGGAGUCAGGGUGGAUGAGGCUGGGAUAUCUACAUGCUUGGUGGGGAGUCGGAAUCAGGGUGGAUGAGGCUGGGAUAUCUACAGGGUUGGUGGGGAGUCGGAAUCAGGGUGGAUGAGGCUGGGAUAUCUACAUGCUUGGUGGGGAGUUGGAGUCAGGGUGGAUGAGGCUGGGAUAUCUACAUGCUUGGUGGGGAGUCGGAAUCAGGGUGGAUGAGGCUGGGAUAUCUACAUGGUUGGUGGGGAGUCGGAAUCAGGGUGGAUGAGGCUGGGAUAUCGACAUGCUUGGUGGGGAGUCGGAAUCAGGGUGGAUGAGGCUGGGAUAUCGACAUGCUUGGUGGGGAGGAGGAGCCAAGGUGGAUGAGGCUGGGAUAUCUACAUGGUUGGUGGGGAGUCGGAAUCAGGGUGGAUGAGGCUGGGAUAUCUACAUGGUUGGUGGGGAGUCGGAAUCAGGGUGGAUGAGGCUGGGAUAUCUACAUGCUUGGUGGGGAGUCGGAAUCAGGGUGGAUGAGGCUGGGAUAUCUACAUGCUUGGUGGGGAGUCGGAAUCAGGGUAGAUGAGGCUGGGAUAUCUACAUGGUUGGUGGGGAGUCGGAAUCAGGGUGGAUGAGGCUGGGAUAUCUACAUGCUUGGUGGGGAGUCGGAGUCAGGGUGGAUGAGGCUGGGAUAUCUACAUGGUUGGUGGGGAGUCGGAAUCAGGGUGGAUGAGGCUGGGAUAUCUACAUGCUUGGUGGGGAGUCGGAAUCAGGGUGGAUGAGGCUGGGAUAUCUACAUGCUUGGUGGGGAGUCGGAAUCAGGGUGGAUGAGGCUGGGAUAUCUACAUGCUUGGUGGGGAGUUGGAGUCAGGGUGGAUGAGGCUGGGAUAUCUACAUGGUUGGUGGGGAGUCGGAAUCAGGGUGGAUGAGGCUGGGAUAUCUACAUGGUUGGUGGGGAGUCGGAAUCAGGGUGGAUGAGGCUGGGAUAUCUACAUGCUUGGUGGGGAGUUGGAGUCAGGGUGGAUGAGGCUGGGAUAUCUACAUGGUUGGUGGGGAGUCGGAAUCAGGGUGGAUGAGGCUGGGAUAUCUACAUGGUUGGUGGGGAGUCGGAAUCAGGGUGGAUGAGGCUGGGAUAUCUACAUGGUUGGUGGGGAGUCGGAAUCAGGGUGGAUGAGGCUGGGAUAUCGACAUGCUUGGUGGGGAGUUGGAGUCAGGGUGGAUGAGGCUGGGAUAUCGACAUGCUUGGUGGGGAGGAGGAGCCAAGGUGGAUGAGGCUGGGAUAUCUACAUGCUUGGUGGGGAGUUGGAGUCAGGGUGGAUGAGGCUGGGAUAUCUACAUGGUUGGUGGGGAGUCGGAAUCAGGGUGGAUGAGGCUGGGAUAUCUACAUGGUUGGUGGGGAGGAGGAGCCAAGGUGGAUGAGGCUGGGAUAUCGACAUGCUUGGUGGGGAGGAGGAGCCAAAGAUGUGGAUUUCCUCUGUCUCCACAUCCUUGGGCAAGGACUGGUGAUCAGCUGCUGCUGUCUUAUUUUAUUUGCUUCUCCAGUAAAUGAACUUUAUAUAGUUGGUAACUUGGCGUUUUCCAUUUUGCAUUACUGAAAUUUCAAUAAAUAGUGCUUUAGUUAGAUGUAAAUCUCUGUCAUUUGUGGCAGAGGAAUUUAAAUGUCGGCCUGCAUUUUGUUGCACCUUUUUGUAUAGAGCAGAGAGAAGGGAAGUGCUGUCUCCCAGUGGCCUGGACCAGGCGGAGUCCAGCCUGUUGAUGAUGCAUUUUGUGUGCUUGGCAUGUGUGACGUGGCAAGGGAUUCGUGUUAUCUUUGGGCAGCUGCCUGAGUAGUAGACAUGUGAGGCCCCUUCCCGGGCAUUUUGUCCUGUCUUCAGGACAUGAAGAAAGCAGCUAGGCAAAGGCACUCUUUGCAGCUUUAAAUGGCCUAGAGUUACCCCCAGAAAAACAAUUCUACUUGUGUUCCACUUCUGUCCAAUUAAAACAAGUUUGUUCAUUUUAUUCUAGGAGCAAUUUGCCAUUAUUUUUGUGCAUUCGGCAGGUGUUUAUUUGCUGCUUGCAGUUGUGGUUGUUCGUGGUGUCAUUCACGAAUACAAUUUUGAACGAGGAAGAGCUGUGAUGACAAAUGCACUAAGAGACACCACUGUGGCUCUCCACAAAUUAGCCAGAACAUAAGGGUGGGAGGAGCCUGUCUUUCCCUGGCAGCACAGGGCUGCCUGGUCUUAAGAAGUCUGUAGUUGAGAACACAGCAUGUGGUUACAUGUAUACAUUAUUUGAAGGUGCACAAAGAAAGCAAAGGGAAGCCAACCACAAAAUGCCAGUUGUGCUAGUAGCAUGUGCUUCUUUAUGAAUGAAAGAACAUACGUAUUUUUUGUAUUAAUUAUUUAUAUAUUUUAUACAUGAAAUCUUAUUUGACAGAUUCCCUGUGACUCCACUGGGGAAUUCAGGGUGGGAGAGGUAGUGCCCCCAUCUUCAUAAGAGGGAGCAGACUUAGAGACAUAGCUGUAGAGAUUACACAGCUGGUAAGAAGUGGUUCCUAGAUGCUAGCCCUGGGGACCCGGCUCUGGUGUGGCCACAGUGCCUUUCACACCUGUAUCCUGAGAGUCGUGGGAAUGGCAUGUAGUUUAAAGUACAGAGAUGGGGGCAUGGAGUCAUUCCUAGGCUCCCAGGGAAGAGCAGGAUGUUUUUGAUAUGGCCGAUUAGGAAGAAUGGGCACUUUGAUCUCUGCAAAGAGAGCCUGCGCUUCAGUGACUAAGUAGGAUUUGACCCUUCAACCUUGACUCUAGUAGAUGGCUCAGUUAAAGGCUACGUGGUGAUUCUUAGGAGGCUUUUAAAUUAGAUAGAUGGAUUUGUCCCUGGAGAGACAAAGCUGAAAUCCUAUAUCACAUAGAUGUUAUAGACCAGGGAGGGGGGAUUUACCUACAGUUAUUUAAGCUUUUAAAGUAGAAAAAAGGUCCAGUUGAAAUGAUAUAUAACAAUAGGCUAUUUGGAGAUGGAUAUAUUGUGAAUAAAUAAUUAUUCUACAUUCUCUUAAUUUGGUAGCAAAAAUAUAAUUAGGUUUUAUAAUUUCUGAUAUAAACAAUAUAAACAUUGUUAUGGUGUACAUAAAAUUUUUUUAGAUUAGUAAGAAAACCAUACGUAUAAACGUGUUAAAUCUGAGAAAAGAAUUACGUCGUUCAUUGGCUAUUUGCGAUUUUAAUGCACCUUAUAUCACUUGGCCCAAAUACUCUUAGGGCAGAAGCAUAAUGCUUACAUUCACAUUCUCAAAUGACCCAAGAAAGAGAAAAGAUUUGGACCCUUAAUGAAUUGUAGAUCUCAUACGUAAACCUUUACUUCUGUUAAAGGAAGAAUGCUAGUGUAGGAUGUAUUUAGCAAUGAUUAGAUUUAUUGAGCACUUUUGUGUUAUGCAUGAAAAAUCAAAUAGAAUAGCGGUAGCUAAGAGAAAUUCAUUCCAAAAGUGUGCUGGCUUCAUAAAUGAUUUUGUGAUGUGUGUCCUCUUUUUCAGUAGGUUCUGUAACAGGAUAGUGUGGUUUUUAGUAGACAGUAUUUCAUUUCUAAAGUUCGUAAGCUUGCAGAUGAUUUUCAAAGGGAUAUCAAUUAGUUUCCCAGCAUAACACACAGAUGGAAAUAUAUGGUGUUUUCCUGACAAAUUUGCCUGUUUUUCUGCGCAUUGUCUUCCUUAGUAAAGGUUGCCAUGUUCAUGUGCUCCUUGAAGGAUUAACAAACAUUCUGUGAAAGGUCAGGUAGUAAAGAGUUUAGGUUCAUUGCCAUGCAGUCUCUGUCACAGCUGCUCCACUCUGCUUAUGGUGUGAAAGCAGCCAUAUGUAAAUGCGUGAGCACGGCUGUGCCCAAAUAAAACUUUAUUUGCAGAGACAGGCAAGCCAGAUCUGGCCUUACUUUACUGACCUCUGCUUGGAACGUCACUCUCCGAGUGGGCUGGAAAGGGUUUUCUUUUCUUCUGGGUCUCACGCAGUCCUAAAGCUUCGUUCUGUUUUAGAAAACUUUGUUCUGUUUUAGAAAACUUUAUUGAGCAUUUCUGCCUGUGAGAAAUGGCAUGAACCACAUGGGGUUUUCGCUUCAAUUUAAUACCUAUAAGCUUUACUAAGGACCUGACCAGCAGGCUGCUGGCUGCUGGGGACAGGGAGGUGAGAAGGCAGGGCCUGGGCAUCAGCUGGCAAGGAAGACCGACCGUGGAGCACACCCUCAUCGACUCACAGGCUUCACUGAAUCUUGUGACAUGCUAACAUGCUGUUUAAUGUCCUUCGAGGAGAGUUUUAUAAAGAGCUAGUGGUUCAUUGUGGAAGUUGACACUCUGGGGCCCCAGGUGACAGUUGCAGGUGUCUCUGCUCCUGCCCUGUCCCACCCAUCUCAUUGUCACCAAAGGGGAGCAGAGAGGAAAGUGUUCUGGGAGAGGUUGGGGACCCUGUUCUUCCACAGACUGGCAGGGAGGCUUCAGCAACUUGUUCGUGCUUCCUGGUCUGGGUUUUAACUAAAAAGGGUCUAACAUUUCAUAAUUUAAAAGAAAGGGUCCACCCGCAAUUCUUGGAACUUUUUGUAUCUCAGGUGUUUGUGCAGAAGAAUCAUCGAUACUGUUUCUCGUAUGGCAUUGGCGGCUGCUGCAGGGGCAGUGGGCAGUUCUUGCCAUAGACGAAUAGCUCACAUCAUGCACAUGGCAGGGUUUUUAACAAUAACACUCAGAAAAGAACCGUGUACAUUCUGUGUUACACAAUCUGCUGUAGCCGUGCACCGUAAAAUUUAUACAGGCUCCUGUGUAGGAAAGUUGAAUGUGUAGAGGGAAUUUGAAGUGCAGUAGGUAAAAGUUUAGGAGGCCUGAUUUUCCUAGUUUUGGAUGAUUAAGACCAGGUCUUAUGUGCAGGAUUAAACAGGAGUUAAAGGGGGAAGAUACCUUUUACCAAACCCAGCCUGUGAGACAACUAGAUUGUCUCAUCCUAUUUUGUAUUGUGUCAUUAACAUCAAGUUGCAACUUGAUAUUCGGAAUUUUUUUUACUAACAAGCAUUCAAAAUGAAAUGAUUUUAAUUGUCAGUGGAAGUGAUGAGCUCAUAGAAAAGAAUGUUUUCAGUCUUUCUCAAGGAGGGCAGCAGGAAAGCAAGUUAUUGCCCCUGUUUGUCAUGGGGAACUUAUUCUUCCAUAUUUUCCUUUUAAGUUAGUUUUUUUUCCAAUUUAAAAGAAAAGUUCAAGUAACCGUUUUUCCUAGAAUCUCUGGCUUUUGUUAUCAUACCCAACCUUACCUUUUUUUUUUUUUUCAUGUUCUUAGAGUGUCUUGCUUUAGUAAAGUCUGGAGAUACUAAAUUAUCGGGUUUAUUUUUCUCAGAAUUGCUCCUGCAACUGAAAAGUCAAUUUUCCCUUGUAAUUCUGUGCUUAACAUAAAAGGCUGAAACUGGGCACUGAGAUGUACCUGUACGAUAUGUUUGAGCUCAUGGAAGGUUUCAUUGCUUUCGGAAUCACAUUUGCUACUAGAAAUACAAAUUUUAAUUUUAAGAAGUGUAUCGUUUCAUUUUGUCAAGUACAUCAGUAUUUGUAACACUCCUAAUUCAGCUAUGGCUGAAAAUGUGAAAGCAUCUUUACCUAGUCCAUGAAUUUGGCCUCUGGGUAGUCCAGUGUUGCUCACCAAAGGCCUGUGAGGCCCCAUGUCCCACAGCCGUGCCAUGGGGCCCUACGUGGUGGCCGUAAGCCCCUCUGCAGAGAGGACCGGGGCCUCCCUGGGCAGAGCUACCACGACCCAGGUGUAUAUCCUGGAUUUUGAACAUCGAAAUGUAACAUUGGAGGCAAACAUGUCCAAACCCAAAUUGUCAUGAGAAAUUAUGAAGAAAAAGGAUUGGUGAGUCAGACUGUGUGCCUAAAAUGCUGCCUGAUUUUAUUGGCUGGAGCAAAUUGACCUUAUUUCCAACAUGUUCUAGGCUUGAUGCCCACUUCAGUUUUCUGUAAUGUGAUUGCAGUCAUGGUGCCCAGCUCCGUGUGACAUGUCAUUGUUGGGACAUUGUUCCAUAUAUUACAAGGAAGCUUUCCUCCUUGUCUUAAUCACAAUGUUUUCUAGUGAUUUGUUUUCUUUCCUCCUUUCUUUCGGGGGAGUCAAGUUGAGCAGUUUGAAGGUGGAGCUUUUACUGACAGCUCUCUCCUUCAUUUGCAUUCUGAUUGCUCUUUUAAGUGGAGGAGAAAAGGGGAGGAAUUAUUGCCCAUCUGCAGGGCAUUAUGGUGAGUGGCACAGGGGACUGUAUCCCACGUAUGAAUGUCAUCUGUCACAAGCGACAGCAGAAAGGAGAUGCGGAGUGGAUACACUGCACGACAUGUCACAUGGAACAACUCUCAUCUCUGCUAAAAGUGUUUUUGUUUGUUGGUUUUAUUUGCUCAAAUAACUCUACGUGGAUACGUCUGUGGAUGGAUUUCCUUACAAAGCAACGUCUAAGGGACAGAGUAGUACAGUGUGUAAUGAGUGAUGUGACAAAUUCAAUGAGUAUCAGUAAGUUUACAUUUUUUAUAUAGAUUACCUGUAGCAGCAGGUGUGGUGUGUGGUGUUCUGUCAUUGUGUUCAUGAGCAACACGUGAGUCUUAUUCUUUUCUUUUUGGUUUUGCCAUUACAGCUGAUGAAUUCAGAAAAUCUCUUCCUUCUUAGUGAAUAUUCACGGUAGAACAGCCAUAAAAUUAAUAAUUCUUUGCUUCUACUAAAAUGAACACAGAUAAUACAACAAAUAAAUUUUUGCUGGAAUCUCAUCUUCAGGAAGCCUGAAGUUUGAUGAUAUUUAAAAGUUGAGGAUGUCAGAUGAUUAGUGUUAGAAAAUUGUUGGUGUGUUUUUUUCCCCUGGUCAGGAUGAACCAGGCUGAUUUUCAGGGUGAGGGAUAACUUCAGUUACUUUGAAAGUAAAUGAAUAUAAAGGCAAAAGUUUACCCUCAUUCCUAGGUUUGAAUCUCUGGAGUGUUUUCCAGCUUUCUUCUUCCUGGGGUAGGGGAGUGUCACUGAUGAGUGGGUGGCUGUCAGGUGGGUGGCAGGUAUCGUGUUGCCGUGGUGGUUUCAACCAGGGGCACCAGCUCUUGGUGUUUGGUGUCUGAAAGCUGUGUGUGAACUACAGAGAGCCCUCCUGAGCCCUUGCACGUGUUAAUCAUUUAGCCCUAUGCCUGGGGCCUUUAAUAGUAUGUGUGGCAAAGAUUCUACCACCAGCUCAAUUGGAAAAAGGUAUUUGAGACAUCAGUUCAGGCAGAUGGCUUCUGUCUUAGACCUUCUUUCUCUAACAAAUGAAUAAAAAUUAUACUUAGGGUUUCAAAACAGAUCCCUUUUUUCCACCAUAAAUUCUUAGUACUGAUGCUUCUUAGGUCUCUGUUGUAUCCCAAUCCCUCUGCUGUGGCUGGCAGGUCCUAGUCAUCUGGGUCCAAUCUGAGGUGUGCUCCAGCCUUUUCCUCGCUGCCCUUUUGCACCUCCGCAAAGGAUUGUUUCCGCUGGUUAAUUCUGUUUAAAUCACCGCGAGCGCUUCCAAGCAUCCCAAAGGGUCACCUGGAAUCAGCCGCAGCCUCCUGGGGUGGGGGGAUGUCUAAGCAAGCAGGUCUGUGAGAGGCAGGGCACUGAGGAGCAAAACCACAGGCCUGUGCCCGCUGAGCACACCCAGACCACAGUUCUGGCUUUACCGUGAAAGGAGGCGGCCGUUGAAAGCAGUUGUAUUAACCUAACAGGAGACAGGCUAGGUGAGACACAUGCACGUUGGGCUUGCGCUGGUGCACGUGUGUGCAUGUAGAUGUGUGUGAAACGCCGCACAGCUGACACCCCCAUGCCUGGCUCUGAGCGGGUGGUCAUCCUGUUUCUGGUCUCCCUCACCUCAGCUCUCUUGUGUCCUUUGAGUGUGCCAGUAACAGGUUCAUCUUCCUGUAAUAACCCUUCCUUCCUCCCUUCUCCUUCCCCUUCCUCCCUCCCUCCUCCUUUUUUUUUCUUUCCUUCCUCUUCCCCUUCCUGUUCCUCUUCCGCUUGCCCUUCCCUUUCCCCUUUCCUUUUUUUUUUUUGUCAGCCAUCUUCCCCCAAGUUAUCAGUGAGGCCUUGCACCAGAGUAGAAUUUAAAAAAGAAAAUUGUUGAAAGGUCAUUGCAUGAAUAAAUGCAUGGAUGAAUUA